rnacentral:rRNA from 1 species
UACGAAGGGGGCUAGCGUUGCUCGGAAUCACUGGGCGUAAAGCGCACGUAGGCGGAUCGCUAAGUCAGGGGUGAAAUCCUGAAGCUCAACUCCAGAACUGCCUUUGAUACUGGCAAUCUCGAGUCCGGGAGAGGUGAGUGGAACUGCGAGUGUAGAGGUGAAAUUCGUAGAUAUUCGCAAGAACACCAGUGGCGAAGGCGGCUCACUGGCCCGGUACUGACGCUGAGGUGCGAAAGCGUGGGGAGCAAACAGG